CCUACGGGUGGCUGCAGUGAGGAAUAUUGGUCAAUGGGCGCGAGCCUGAACCAGCCAAGUAGCGUGAAGGAUGACUGCCCUACGGGUUGUAAAUUUCUUUUAUAAAGGAAUAAAGUGAGGCGCGUGUGCCUUUUUGUAUGUACUUUAUCAAUAAGGAUCGGCCAACUCCGUGCCAGCAGCCGCGGUAAUACGCAGGAUCCGAUCGUUAUCCGGAUUGAUUGGGUUUAAAGGGAGCGUAGAUGGGUUGUUAAGUCAGUUGUGAAAGUUUGCGGCUCAACCGUAAAAUUGCAAUUGAUACUGGCAGUCUUGAGUACAGUUGAGGCAGGCGGAAUUCGUGGUGUAGCGGUGAAAUGCGUAGAUAUCACGAAGAACUCCGAUGGUGAAGGCAGCUUACUAAACAGCUACUGACAUUGAGGCGCGAAAGUGUGGGUAUCAAACAGGAUUAGAUACCCCAGUAGUC
rnacentral:rRNA from 1 species